rnacentral:rRNA from 1 species
GUGAGGAAUAUUGGUCAAUGGGCGCAAGCCUGAACCAGCCAUCCCGCGUGAAGGAAGAAGGCCCUAUGGGUUGUAAACUUCUUUUCCAGAGGAAGAAAAAUCCCGACGUGUCGGGACUUGCCAGUACCCUGGGAAUAAGCAUCGGCUAACUCCGUGCCAGCAGCCGCGGUAAUACGGAGGAUGCAAGCGUUAUCCGGAUUUAUUGGGUUUAAAGGGUGCGUAGGCGGGAUAAUAAGUCAGUGGUGAAACCCUGCAGCUUAACUGUAGACUUGCCAUUGAUACUGUUAUUCUUGAGUGUGGUCAAGGUAGGCGGAAUGUGUAAUGUAGCGGUGAAAUGCUUAGAUAUUACACAGAACACCGAUUGCGAAGGCAGCUUGCUGGGCCAUUACUGACGCUCAUGCACGAAAGCGUGGGGAUCGAACAGGAUUAGAAACCCCUGUAGUCC